UACGGAGGAUCCGAGCGUUAUCCGGAUUUAUUGGGUUUAAAGGGAGCGUAGGCGGAUUGUUAAGUCAGUUGUGAAAGUUUGCGGCUCAACCGUAAAAUUGCAGUUGAAACUGGCAGUCUUGAGUACAGUAGAGGUGGGCGGAAUUCGUGGUGUAGCGGUGAAAUGCAUAGAUAUCACGCAGAACUCCGAUUGCGAAGGCAGCUUACUAAACUAUAACUGACAUUGAGGCUCGAAAGUGUGGGUAUCAA
rnacentral:rRNA from 1 species